rnacentral:rRNA from 1 species
GACGAACGCUGGCGGCGUGCUUAACACAUGCAAGUCGAACGGAAAGACCCUGCUUUUGUGGGGUGCUCGAGUGGCGAACGGGUGAGUAACACGUGAGUAACCUGCCCUUGACUUUGGGAUAACUUCAGGAAACUGGGGCUAAUACCGGAUAGGAGCUCCUGCUGCAUGGUGGGGGUUGGAAAGUUUCGGCGGUUGGGGAUGGACUCGCGGCUUAUCAGCUUGUUGGUGGGGUAGUGGCUUACCAAGGCUUUGACGGGUAGCCGGCCUGAGAGGGUGACCGGCCACAUUGGGACUGAGAUACGGACCAGACUCCUACGGGAGGCAGCAGUGGGAAAUAUUGCACAAUGGGCGGAAGCCUGAUGCAGCAACGCCGCGUGCGGGAUGACGGCCUUCGGGUUGUAAACCGCUUUAGCCUGUGACGAAGCGUGAGUGACGGUAAUGGGUAAAGAAGCACCGGCUAACUACGUG